rnacentral:rRNA from 1 species
CCCUUAGAUGUCCUGGGACGCACGCGUGCUACACUGAUGAAUUCAACGAGUUUCUCACCUUGGCCGAAAGGUCUGGGUAAUCUUUUGAAAUUUCAUCGUGAUGGGGAUAGAUCCUUGCAAUUUUUGAUCUUCAACGAGGAAUUCCUAGUAAGCGCAGGUCAUCGUCCUGCGUUGAUUACGUCCCUGCCCUUUGUACACACCGCCCGUCGCUCCUACCGACUGAAUGGUCCGGUGAGUUGUUGGGAUGGCUGCGCGGCCGACGGGGCAACCUGUCUAGUGCGGCCAGAACUUCUGCAAACCUUAUCAUUUGGAGGAAGGAGAAGUCGUAACA